rnacentral:lncRNA from 1 species
GCUUGGAUCGAUGAUGAGUCCCCAAAAAAAACAUUCCUUGGAAAAGCUGAACAAAAUGAGUGAAAACUCAUACCGUCAUUCUCAUCGGAACUGAGGUCCAGCACGUUGCCUUCCCCGGGGACUGUAGGAGUGAGGGACAACUUCCACUGAUUCCCAUAGGUUCCACCACCCAAGGCAUCCACAGCCAAAGUCUCCCAUCAAAUGCUCAUUAGGAACAUUCCCUUUUUGUGAGGUACACAGGUAGGAGAGUCCUGGGGGGAACGGCUGCUCUGUGAUGGCCUGGUGGCCAUGGAAGCAGACAGAAAUAUCGCAGGCCUAGGGUAGUGUGCGCCUGAUCUUGGCUUGGUGAGCUCCUAGGAAGGGAGACGCGGACCUCGUGGCAGGCGUCUCUGAGCAGAGGACUGAGUCCUUGUUUUCUUGCCGGGGAGAGCACAAGGCCCAGGCCUCAGGCAGAUGUUGGUCCUGAUUUUUGAUUAGCUGAGGACAAGGGAGUGCCAAGGGUGAUGGGGGACAGUGUAUAACAAAGGGUGUUGUGACAGAGAGCCAAAGCCUCUUUGGCCCUCCACCCAGCAUCCAGUCAUGGAGGCCCCCCAGCAGGGAUUUCUUCAUCCCCUGAGCCGUGAGAUGCCCCUGGUGCUAUGGUGGAAGCCUGGACUGGAAGGUACUCCACAGAAGAGGUGGUAGGGGGCUUAUGUGGACAUGUGUGUCAUCAGCAGUCUUGGGCUGUUGUUCAGCGUUGAUGGGCUUUCCAUUUAUUUCUCUAGUGGAUGACAAGUUGGCCAGCAGAGGUGUCAGAGGGCAGGUUCCAGGGAAUACAAGGGUCAGACUUGUGCUCCUGGCCCUUGGUCACUUCUCGUCUUCCUGACAGAGUAGUGGGCUCCACUGUUGGGCACAUCUUCCUGGAAGUCGUCUCUUGGCCCGCCAUUGCCGAGCGGCCACACCUGCUGCAGCUCGUGUGAGCAAAUAUGGCUCUGGAUCCUCUUUCCUGCUUUGAAAGCAGCUUCCAUCCUGAAGGCGUCCAGAGGGGGCAGUUAUCAUGGGACACCCGCCAUAUGCUGGCAAGGAAGAUGGUCAGUUCUUCUGAGCCACAAAGGCCCCCAACAUCCUGGAGUUGGUGUUGCCUAGCAUCCACGGUGCGCCCCCUGCUGGUGGAUGGCUCAGGAUGGGGCAGUUGCCGUGGGAGGCCCGCUGCCUGCUGGAAGGAAGAUGGUCAGUUCUUCUGAACCACAAAGGCCCUGCAGAGUCCUGGAGUCUGUGUGGCCUGGCUUCCAGGGUUCACCUCAUGCUGGUGGAUUGCUCAGGAUGGGUGCCGAAGGUCUUUAAGGUCGUCAGCUCACCUACUGCCCAGCCUGUGGUGUCAAAUGUCCUGCCUCUUCAAAUGUGUUUGGAUCGAUGAUGAGUCCCCCCAAAAAAACAUUCCUUGGAAAAGCUGAACAAAAUGAGUGAAAACUCAUACCGUCGUUCUCAGCGGAACUGAGGUCCAGCGCGUUGCCUCCAGCAGGGACUGUUGGAGUGAGGGAGAGCUUCCACUAGUCCCUAUAGGUUCCACCACCCAGGGCAUCCGCAGGGACAGUUGCCGUGGGAGGUCCGCUGCCUGCUGUCAAGGAAGAUGGUCGAUGCUUCUGAGAAACAGGCCCUGCGGGUUCCUGGAUUUGGUGUGGCCUGGCAUCCACGGUGCACCCCGUGCUGGCGGGUGGCCCAGGACGGGGCAGUUGCCUUGAGAGGCCCACCGCCUGCUGGCAUGACAGAUGGUCAGUUCUUCCGAGCAGUGGAAUCUCCAUGGAGUCGUGGAGUCGGUGUGGCCUCGCAUCCACAGUGCACCCUGUGCUGGUGGAUGGCUCAGGACACAGCAGUUGUCAUGAGAGGUCUGCCGCUUGCUGGCAAGGAAGAUGGUCAAUUCUUCUGACCAACAGAGGCUGCCUUGAGUCCUGAUUUGGUGUGGCCUGGCAUCUAUGGUGCACCCAAUGCUGGGGCAGUUGCCGUGGGAGGCCUGCCGUCUGCUGAAAGGAAGAUGGUUGAUGCUUCUGAGCAAUGAAGGCCCCAUGGAGUCCUGGAUUCGGUGUGGCCUUGCAUCCGUGGUGCACCCCGUGCUGGUGGAUGGCUCAGGACGGGGCAGUUGCCAUGGGAGGCGCAGGCCUGCUGGAAGGAAGAUGGUCGAUUCUCCCAAGCAACAAAGGCCACGUAGAGUCCUGGUUUCAGUGUGGCCUGGUAUCCACAGUGCACCCCGUGCUGGUGGGUGGCUCAGGACGCACACUCAUUUCCUCUGCACCUUCCUGGUGUCAUUGGCAUGGAAGGAAGGCCCUUGUCCAAGAAGGAUGGUCUUCGUCUUGUGUGAUCUUUGAGAUGCCAUGAGGCCCCUGGAUACAAAUGGUGUGGGCUCCUUUGGAGGCUUUUGGAUUUCUCCUGAAUGUGGCGUUGGUAUGGAAGGAAGGCCAGUGACCGCAAGGGAUGACUUUGAUCUUGGGAGAUUUUUGGAGAUGGCAAAGUGCUUCUAAACAUGUUUGGCAUGGUCUCCUUCAGGCUGGUGGAUACCUCAGGAUGGUGGCGUUGGCAUGGAAGGAAGGACUGUGUCUGUGAGGGAUGAUCAUCCUCUCAUGUGAUCCUUGGAGAUGCCAGGAAGCCCCUUGACACAUGUGGCAUGGGCUCCUUCAGAGGCUUUUGGAUCCGUCGUGAAUGUGGCAUGGGCAUGCAAAGAAAGACAGAGGCUGCAAGGGAUAAACUUCAUCUUGGGAGAUCCCUGGAGAUGGCAGGGAACCCAUGGACACAUGUGGCAUGGGCUCCUUUGGGUGCCGGUGGAUCCCUUCAUACGGUAAAGCCAGAGUUGGGUAUCAACCAGAUACACUGCAGGGGAUCAGAGGACAUGGCCUUUGUGUACUGCACAUCUGUCAGAUUUUCUCAAGCACACCCGUGUUUCCUCUUCACCUCCCACGUGGAAGUGAUGAAUUGGCCAGGACCAUGUUGGUGAGGGACAAUCAUCAUCUCAUGUUAACCUCAGAGAAGCCAGGAAGCUCCUGGACACACAUGGUGUAGGCUUCCUUGGAGGCUGUUGGAUCUCUCCUGAAUGUAGUGUUGGUGUAAAAGGCAAACCCGUGUCAUGAGGGAUGGUCAUCAUCUUGUGUGAUCCUUGGAGAUGGCAGGAAGCCCUGGACAUACAUGGUGUGGGGGCUCCUCCAGAGGCUGUUGGGAUCCUCCUGGAUGUGGUGUGGGCAUGGAAGGAAGGCCAGUGGAGACAAUGGAUGAUCUUGUUCUUAGCAGAUCACUGGAUGUGGCAGGGAGUCCUAGGACAUGUGUGGUGUGGGCUUCUUCAGGUGCUGGUGGUGUUGGCAUGAGGAAAGGAGGUAUCUUCGAGGGACAAUCUUCUUCUUGUGCGAUCCUUGGAGAUGCCAUGAGGCCCCUGGACACAUGUGGUGUGGGCUCCUUUGGAGGCUGUUGUAUCCCUUCUGAAUGUGGCGUGGGCAUAGAAGGAAGGCCAGUGGCCACGAGGGACAAUCUUGGUCUUGGGAGAUCCUGGAAAUGAUAGGGAGUCCCUUGAUAUGUGUGGCAUGGGCUCCUUCAGGUGCUAGUGGAUUCCUUAGGAUGGUGGUGUUGGCAUGAAAGGCAGGCUUGUAUCAUGAGGAAUGAUUGUCAUCUUGUCUGAUUCUUGGAGAUGGCAGGAAGCCCCUGGAAACACAUGGUGUGGACUCUUUCACAGGCUGUUGAAACCCUCCUGAAUGUGAGGCCAGAGACAGGCAGACAGCAGAUGUAUUGCAGGGAGCUGGAUGACAUGGCCCUUGGAACCUGUGCACAUGCCUGCCUUUCUGAUGCACGUCCAUGUUUUCUCUGCACCUCCCCGGUGGUGUUGGUAUAAAAAGCAGGCUUACAUCAGCAAGGGAUGAUUGUCGUCUCAUGCGAUCCUGGGAGAUGGCAGAAGUCCCGGGACACAUGGAGUGUGGGCUCUUUCGGAGGCUGUUGGAUCCCUCCUGAAUGUGUUGUGGCCAUGGAAGUAAGGCCAGUGGCUACGAGGGACAGUCUUCAUCUUGGGAGAUCCCUAGAGAGGGCAGGGAGCCCCUUGACAUGUGGAAUGUGAUCUCUGUUGGGUGCUGGUGGAUCCCACAGGUGGUCUGGCAUGGAAGAAGGCCAGAGGCUGCGAUGGAUCAUCUUUGUCUUGGGAGAUUCCUGGAGAUGGUGGGGAGCCCCUGGGCACGUGCAGCAUAUGUGGCGUGGGCUUCUUCAGGUGCUGGUGGAUCCCUCAGGAUGCUUUUCAAGGUUUUUCUAUGAGUUCUGUUAAAGAGUCUGAAAAUGGAGCGUAGAAGACAUGCUUCGAUUUCCAGGAUGGUUGUGUUUUCCAGAGAGGCGGAGGUAAACCACUGGCGCAGCCCUGCCUCCCACAGAUAAUUCCGGGUGCAGUGUUUCAUAUCUAGACUUGGACUUCUAUCCUACCAUACUUCUUUGUGUGCAGUUCAUUGUGGAACCAGCACAGAUUUUCAUACGAAAGUUAUUUCUUUUUAACCUCAAAAAGUGACAGAAUGGAGUGUAUCAUGAAAAAGUCUGACAUCAAAACCUCAAAAUGUGAUAUUGAUUGGGUGAGAUAGAAUUCCAUGGAAUUUCAUUGCCAAACCAGUGAAGUGCUAAUUUUGACAUUUGUACCAGCUAACGUAGCUGUGAAGAAACACACCAAUACACUUCUAAGGACAGCAUAGACCAAGAUCUAGGUUUCAUAUGGAUGAAUUUAUUCUUCCCUUUGAGGCAAGACAAGAAGGAAAGAAAGUAUUGGGAAUAAUGCUGCCCUCCCAUCCUCAAGGGCCAGUGGGAACUCUAAUAUUGAUUGGGUGAGAUACAAUUCCAUGGAAUUUUACCACUGAACCAGUGGAGGGCUAAUUUUGUCAUUUGUACCAGUUAACUAACUUGGGAGGAAACAGAACAACACACUCCUGAGGGUAAAAUGGAAACUCUGAGAGUUUGGUUGGCGGCAUCUAUAUACCAUAGAAACAGAGCCUGGGAAGCAGAACAGUGAGACCCAAGAGAAAUGUUCCUGCCUAUACUUGAUUGGUUUUCACAGAAUUCCAUGGACUUUAACUGCUGAACCAAUGAUGCACUGAUUUUGUCACUUGUACCAGCUAACGCAUCUGGGAGGCAACAAAACAAUACUCUCCUGAGGUUAAUGUGGACCAAAAACUAGAUUUCAUAUAAAAGAGUUUAUUCCUUCUACUUGAGGUGUGACAUGAAGGAAAGUAAUGGAAAUAAUUCUGCCCUCCCAUUCUCAAGGGCCAGGGGGAAUUCAAAUAUUGAACGGAAGUGAUUUUGGAAUUGCAUGGAAUUCUCACUGCCAUCCCAAAGAAAUGCUGAUCUUGUCACUCUUACCUGUUUCAUUCCCUGGGGGCAGAACAAAAGGACGCACUCCAAAGAUCGGCAUGAACCAAGAACUGGGUUUCAUAUAAAAUAUUUUAUUCUGUCCUCUUGAGAUGUGACAUGAGAAAAGUAUUGAGAAUACUUCUAUCACCUCAUCUUCAAGAAUCCGUAGGAAUUCUCCCAUGGUGGACUUUACGGUUAACCUGAACAGGUCUUGGAAAAAGGACUUUAAACAUUCUCCUGUUCUGUGGAAUAAGUAUACUUUUUUCUGGACAUACACCUUGUCAGUGAGUUCCAUGUGAUACUAGAGUUGCAUAGAUUUUUAACCUUUACGCCAAUGAAGAUCUGAGGCAAACAUUGCCCCUUUUUUAGAAGUUUGCAUUUGUCACUGAUAACUGUAAUAAUUGAUCUUGUUGAAAAGCCUGGGAAAUGAAGAUCUGAUAUGUCACUUUUACCGGCUUCCUCAACUGAAAAAGAAUACAAUGAAACACGCUGAGAAUUUUUGUGCUUUCUCAGUCUUGCUGAUGAUCUUUCUAUGGGCCUGAAGCGUGGAGAGUGCCAGAGAGGCUGAUCCUCAGCAGUGUGGCAGAGGAAAGUUGGGUGCGACUAAGGGGUAUGCGGUGCCCACAUGCCACUGGGUCCUCAGCAGUACCACCUGAUUGGAAGUGAUAUUGGUGGAAGACAACAUUUUGCCGCUUGGAAUUCUCACCUCCACACCAAAGAAGUACUGUUUUUGUCAUUUGCACCAGCUUCUUUCUCCAGGAAAGAUCAAAACGAUGCACUGCAAGUGUGAUUGGUCCAGAUAGCUGCCUUAUCCAACUGCCUCCUUUGGACCACUUCAUCAUGGGACAGCUUGAUGCAAUCUACUUGACAAGACCCUGGAACCCCACACCCCUCAUGGAACCAGUGUCCACCUCCCAGUCACAGUGUGACCCCAGGGAACUCUUGCCUGCUUGCUUUAAACCCACCACUUAAAAGUCUCCACAGAAAACCUGUUUGAAUAGUACCCUUGACCCAAUAAGGGCAUUGGCCCCUGGGUGUCUCUCUCUCUCUCUCUCUCUCUCUCUCCCUCUCUCUCCCUCUCUCUCUCUCGCUCCCUGACCUCUGCGUGUGGACUCCAGGCAUGCCAUAUACCCCUCAGGACCUGAAGCAAAAGAAUGAAUUAAAGAAAACUCCAGAGAAUGAGCUGACAACCUACUCCCUGGUCAGUGGCUCUCCAUGCCUACCUGUGGUCUCUUGGACACCCUUGCAGAUGACUUCCUGGGAACUCUUCUGGGAGUGAAUGUUAUCAGCAAAUUCCCAAAACAACACCCCUUAGACAAAAAGCCUCCUCACCUAUGCAUUGCCUAGACCACCCACUAAAGGUGAUGGCCACAAAGAGGUGGAUUUGUUGAGUUGGUGCCAUUCCUUCUACUGCCAGCUUCACCAAAACAAUGACACAGUCUUCCUUCCGCAUGGAGACUCUUCUCUUUCCUGUGUUGCAGUGGAUGCCUCCUGCAGAUAAGAAAUGCUUAACUGAGAAAUGCUCAUGUUGGGAUAUCAUCGAUGAGACUUUAAUUUGGGCAUGGUGACUGUUUCCCUUGCUGCCACUUGACUCAAUCCCAGGAGCCUCAGUAGAGGAUAUAAUAUUACACAAGAUGCUCAAAAUGGUGGAAUUGCUCAGUGCUCCCAUAAAUAUACAUUUAUAAUUUUCAUUUGCCACAUGGUAAACUGAAAAAUACAGACUAUAUUAAAAAGAAACUGCAUGAUUUUUUUUCAAAAAUUCAAAGCAUAUUUAAAUAAUAUAUAAAUUAAAUGCCCUCCUCUCUUCCAAUUCUGUCCCUAUAGUUUUCCUCUAUUAAGUGAACUACAUGCAUUCUUUUAGUGGAUAGAUGCACACAAACACACAAGCCAUUAUGGGGAAGGAUCCACGUGUGUGGCCAUAUUGUAACACAUUUUUCUGCAAAUCACCUCUUUCAUUUAACAGCCCUUAUUCAAUGGCCUUUUUCUUUUUCAGUAGUACAUACACAUCUGUGUCAUUUGUUGAAUGACGACAUGAAUGUUUUGUAGAUAAAAUAUAAUUAAAUGUUUUAAGCAUUUCUCACUCAUAGAUAUUUAUGUUAGCACCAAAUUUCUGUGCAAUGAACCUCCCUAUAUAUCAGUAAUUUUGCAUUUGUCUAUAAUAUCAUAAUAAAUU